rnacentral:misc_RNA from 1 species
UCCCUCUCCUCUUUCUGGAAGCUGAAAGCUCAAUUUAUAACAUCUGUACACCUGCGCGCGAAAGGACGAAAAACGAUGCCGUUUUGCAAGGUCGCCGAUCCUCAGACCAAUCCGGACGGAGCUUGCAAGAAUGGCACCGAAAUUUUCUACAGAACGUACGGUCAUGGACCGACAAAGGUCCUACUCAUCAUAGGAUUGGCUGGGACGCAUGAUUCCUGGGGCCCGCAAAUAAAGGGUCUGACGGGUAGCGAUAGACCGACUGAUGAUGAUCAAUUGAGGAUCUUUGAUCAGAAUUCACGCGAGGAAGGUGAUACUGAAAUGGGUGGUGGUAUCGAGGUCUGUGCAUUUGAUAAUCGCGGUAUGGGUCGCAGCUCCAUACCCACCAAAAAAUCCCAAUAUACAACAAAAAUAAUGGUAAAAGAUGCCAUUGCUUUACUGGAUCAUCUGGGCUGGCAAAAAGCCCAUGUUUUUGGCCAUUCAAUGGGGGCUAUGAUAGCUUGCAAGUUAGCAGCAAUGGUGC